rnacentral:rRNA from 1 species
UAGGGAAUAUUAGAAAUGGACGAAAGUCUGAUCUAGCAACACCGCGUGUGCGAAGAAGGCCUUCGGGUUGUAAAGCACUUUUUGGAAGGAUUAGGAAGGAAUGUACUUCCAGAAUAAGUCUCGGCUAACUACGUGCCAGCAGCCGCGGUAACACGUAGGAGGCAACCGUUAUCCGGAUUUACUGGGCGUAAAGCGCGUGUAGGUGGUUCUGUAAGUAGGGCGUGAAAGCUCCUGGCUCAACUGGGAGAGGCCGUUCUAAACUGCAGAGCUAGAGGAUGGUAGAGGGGGGUGGAAUUUCGGGUGUAGCGGUGGAAUGCGCAGAGAUCCGGAGGAACACCAGUGGCGAAAGCGGCCUCCUGGACCAUUCCUGACACUCAGACGCGAAAGCUAGUGUAGCAAACG